CCUACGGGAGGCAGCAGUGGGGAAUAUUGGACAAUGGGCGAAAGCCUGAUCCAGCAAUGCCGCGUGAGUGAUGAAGGCCUUAGGGUUGUAAAGCUCUUUUACCCGGGAUGAUAAUGACAGUACCGGGAGAAUAAGCUCCGGCUAACUCCGUGCCAGCAGCCGCGGUAAUACGGAGGGAGCUAGCGUUAUUCGGAAUUACUGGGCGUAAAGCGCACGUAGGCGGCUUUGUAAGUAAGAGGUGAAAGCCCAGAGCUCAACUCUGGAAUUGCCUUUUAGACUGCAUCGCUUGAAUCAUGGAGAGGUCAGUGGAAUUCCGAGUGUAGAGGUGAAAUUCGUAGAUAUUCGGAAGAACACCAGUGGCGAAGGCGGCUGACUGGACAUGUAUUGACGCUGAGGUGCGAAAGCGUGGGGAGCAAACAGGAUUAGAUACCCGUGUAGUC
rnacentral:rRNA from 1 species